rnacentral:rRNA from 1 species
AUGCAGAUUUCCGAACCUUUAGUGGGGUCCCGCGAGGAGCGCGCCGGAUCAAUCAGUAUUAUAAGUUGGAUCUGUCAUGGUUUGGGCAAUCCCAUGAAAGUUCGAGAAGUUCGCGAGCUCGCGAACAUGUUUGAACCAGACUUAAUAUGCUUAGUUGAAACUCAGUUGGACAGGGCACAUGCCAAAGUUUUAUCUUUGUCUUUCGGUUGUAAUAAAUCUUUCUCUAUUAGUAGCUCAGGGAGGAGCGGGGGUCUUGUAAUCUUUUGGGACGAUGAAAUAAAAUUGGAGAUUAAGGGUUACUCGAAGUACUAA